rfam:Ovis aries breed Texel chromosome 2, whole genome shotgun sequence.
GGUUAAAAUUUAAAAAAAAAAAAAUGCUACCUAAAGAAGUAUUCUUAGGCCAGAGCAAACCCGGCCCCGAACCAUUGCCUGGCCUCUGCCAGUAGGCUGCAGGCACUGAAGUGGGUUGCACAGUG